rnacentral:tRNA from 1 species
GGUUGUAGCUCAGUGUUAGAGCACUUGCCUAGUAUGAGUGAGGUCUUGGGUUCGAUCCCCAGAACCA